AAAUCUAAAACUUUUGGCUUUCUCUUCUCUCUUCUUUUUCUUUGAAACUCGAUAGUAAACCUUCACUGCCGAUCCCAAUUUGUUCGUCUCUUGUUUCACUCUCACUCCACUCAGUCUCAAUCCCUCUCGAUCUCAAGCGUCAGUUUCAUCGAUCCACAAAGCCCUCUUAAUAGUCACACGCAUCGAUCGAAAAUCGAAUUUGCAGGUGUACGGUUUCUUUUGAGGCUCGUUGAUGGUAUAAAGGAGAAGAAGAUUCAGAUGAUUAUAGUGAUGGCAAUCUGAUGAUUAUAGAGUGAUGGUCUUUGACAGUCCCCCGAAUCAAUACGUCUUCCUUGUCAGCUUCAAUUCUAAUCCACAAAAUGGAGAAUAUGGUUUAUUUUCUUCACAGAUUUGGAGAUGAUUCAUGAAAGGAACUCGUAGUGUGGAACCUGGAAGGAGGUAAAUAGGUACUAACUCUUGUUAUUCUUAGACUAAAUCGUGCUGCAAAUUUGUGUCCUAUGGAGUCUAAAAGGUAAAUGUAUGAGUUCCUAAAUGUACUGAGUUAUUUAGCUUUAUUGUUUAGGUAAUAUAUAUGCAGUUUACCUUUCUUAUAACUUCUACAGCUUCUAAUAUGUGUUCCCGUUUUUUUUGUUCAAUACCCUUUUAGAGAACCAGCUCUAAGAUUCAUAGUUUUGUUCUUACUCGUGGAAGAACUCAAUCCCUUAUGUUGAUUACUUGAGUGGACGAAGCCUCAAAGAAACAAUGCAUUUGUUGGAGCUCACAGAUCACAAUUUGUUGUCUUUGUUAAUUUUUUUUUUUUUUUGAUAUACCAUUUAUCGAUUUUGAUAUAUACGCUCUUACAUUUUUUUUUGUCUUUGUAAAAUAGUCAAGUUUAGAUAUGUAUCAAUAAAGAGAAAAAAAAGAAUACAACAAAUUUUUGUUUCUUAA